UACGUAGGGGGCAAGCGUUGUCCGGAUUUAUUGGGCGUAAAGAGCGUGUAGGCGGUUAUGCAGGUCCGCUGUGAAAACUGGAGGCUUAACCUCCAGACGUCGGUGGAAACCGUAUGACUAGAGUCCGGAAGAGGAGAGUGGAAUUCCUGGUGUAGCGGUGAAAUGCGCAGAUAUCAGGAAGAACACCCGUGGCGAAGGCGGUUCUCUGGGACGGUACUGACGCUGAGACGCGAAAGCGUGGGGAGCGAACAGG
rnacentral:rRNA from 1 species